ACUUCACCAGGAGUUCUUCUGUGUCAUAACGUGUGCUCCUAAGUGCUCCGUGAUGAAGUGU
rnacentral:pre_miRNA from 1 species